rnacentral:pre_miRNA from 1 species
AGUGGAAUUACUAAGUCAUAUUAUAAUUUUUUAAUGUUUUAGGAACCACCAGACUGUUUUCCACAGUGGCUGAACCAUUUUAUAUUUCUACCAGCAAU